CCUACGGGUGGCAGCAGUGGGGAAUAUUGGACAAUGGGGGAAACCCUGAUCCAGCGACGCCGCGUGAGUGAAGAAGUAUUUCGGUACGUAAAGCUCUAUCAGCAGGAAAGAAAAUGACGGUACCUGACUACGAAGCCCCGUCUAUCUACGUGCAACCAGCGGCGUCAAUACGUAGGGGGCAGGCGUUAGCCGGAUUUACUGGGGGUAAAGGGGGCGUAGAGGGCAGCGCAAGUGUGGAGUGAAAUGCCGGGGCCCAACCCCGGAACUGCUCUGGAAACUGUGAAGCUGGAGUGCAGGAGAGGUAAGCGGAAUUCCUGGUGUAGCGGUGAAAUGCGUAGAUAUCAGGAGGAACACCGGCGGCGAAGGCGGCUUACUGGACUGUAACUGACGUUGAGGCUCGAAGGCGUGGGGAGCAAACAGGAUUAGAUACCCUUGUAGUC
rnacentral:rRNA from 1 species